rnacentral:rRNA from 1 species
UACGUAGGGGGCAAGCGUUGUCCGGAAUUAUUGAGCGUAAAGCGCGCGCAGGCGGCUAUGUAAGUCUGGUGUUUAAACCCAAGGCUCAACCUUGGGUCGCAUUGGAAACUGCAUGGCUUGAGUACAGAAGAGGAGAGUGGAAUUCCACGUGUAGCGGUGAAAUGCGUAGAUAUGUGGAGGAACACCAGUGGCGAAGGCGACUCUCUGGGCUGUAACUGACGCUGAGGCGCGAAAGCGUGGGGAGCAAACAGG